rnacentral:rRNA from 1 species
UACGUAGGCAGCGAGCGUUUGUUCGGAAUUACUGGGCGUAAAGAGUGUGUAGGCGGUGCUCUAAGUUCGGUGUGAAAUCUCCUGGCUCAACUGGGAGGGUGCGCCGGAAACUGGAGUGCUUGAGCGUGGGAGAGGAAAGCGGAAUUCCUGGUGUAGCGGUGAAAUGCGUAGAUAUCAGGAGGAACACCUGUGGUGUAGACGGCUUUCUGGACCAUAGCUGACGCUGAGACACGAAAAGCGUUGGGGUAGCAAACAGG